UCCUAGCAAAAAUUCUUUCGAUGAUAUGCUGCAUGGUGGGUCGAUACUUUUUAUUUAAUCAUUUAUAGUAGUUUUCACGCCGUCAAUUUUGUUUUCGAAAAAGGAUAUACUUUUUCAAGGUGUACUUCUGUCUUAGUGGACAGUUGAUUGUUGGCGGUGUUUAUGUCCGCUAAAAAAGUUUCGUCGCGUUCAUUUAAAGAUGAUGAAAUGCAAUUUAUGACUUUACUGGACGCGUUGGAUGUAGUGAUGUUUACAUUUUUUAUUUCCGUUUCUAGCUCAAGCAAAAGAGAUUCCAUGCUGUCGAGAGCAUCGUGUGAUACUUUCAUGCUUUUUAUUUGUGCGAAUAAAGCAUGGUUUGCUUCAAUUUGAGCACGGACUGUUUGGUUCAAUUCCUGCUGUUGAUGGAUAAGUUUUUUUCGGCAAAUUCCUGCCGACAGUCAAUACACAGAGGUACCAUGAAGGUCCUUAAUAAUUCCUCGUGGUUUUUCUGUGCUCCCAUGCAUGCUGCAUGAAAUUUCCGAUUGCACUUUCCGUGACACUUCCAGAGAUAGCGGCUGUCGUAGACAAUAUAAUUACUAAUUCCGCACUUCUCCAUGUUAACGCGACGAUAUGUUAAAAAAUGAUUACUAUUUAAAAAGAGUGCCCACUUGCACGUUUACGUCGAAAUAAAAAAGUUGAAAUAAAAUCCGUUCGGUUGGACGGAUGGACAAAGAAAGGUGAACAAGAAGCCAGGCUGAAACCUGAAUCGCCGGACCGACCUCGGCACCGCCGGGGACUAACCGAGUAGAAGUCACAGCACCGAAAUCGAGUCGCCGGGGCGCCAGUAAACCGGAAGCCAUGCUCCAACCGAAAUUACAGGACCGACCUCGGCACUCAUUCGAGUGUCCCGCGUGCAAAAUACUAGAUUCGGCGUCGGUCCGGGGAAACUUCCAUCGUCGGGGAUUUUUUCUGUCGGUGUAGGCUAAACUUCAAUCAUCGGGGAUUAGCCGAGUAGUUCGCGACGUAGACCAGUCCUGAGUAGUCGAGGCACCAGCGAAUCAAGAGUGGUGGUGUUUCAGCACGGCCCCCUGCCGAAGUAAUACCUUAUGGUAGUCCCGUGGUAGAAUGAGGGGAGCGAAGCUUAGGGGGUGUUUUAGUUCGGGUUUAGUACCUUAGACAUGACUAUAUGGUGGUGUGGAUGUAACAUAAAGGUAUUCGAGGGGUGGAAGGGGGUGGGGGGCCGUUUGGUAAGUGCCUCCAAAAAGUGGGGUGAAAUGUUUGUAAUGGCAUAACUUCGGAACUCGGCACGGAUUGCUAUCAAACUUGGCACAGGUACAUCUUGCUGUUCAGAGGUGAUCAUAAAGAUACAAAUACAGAGGUGAUCAUUGUCAUACGAAUUUUUAUAACGAGGAGGGAGUAGCAAGUGUUUAAAACCAUGGAAGCUUAAGGUAUUUUAGAUCGCGUGUGACGAGGAACGCACCUGUAACGAUAAUUCAAGUACGUUACGAGCACAUAUGCUUUUUGGAACUCAGAGGUUACUAAGAAGAUAUUUAUAGAGAAAGGUGUUUCAAAUGUUCCUAGCAAAAGCUUUCAAACACAAAACAGACCCGUUUGUACGAGUGGUCGAAGUAACGAUUAUCUAACUACGCGGUGAACUGGUGUUAAGUUUGACUUUAUUUCGUUCGAUAAAUUGGUACGAUAAAUCUCGAAGAUGUGAUUUGUUCGAAGGUUUAUAUUCUACGAUAUCAGGUGUACAUCUUUGCUUCCGCCGUUUUCCGAUAGUUGGCUGUACCGGCUGAGGCUGGUUAAAAUACAUAGAUGAUAAUGCCUUUAAAGUGAGUGUGUACAGUGCCUGAAUUGUCAAUCGCCGUUUCAGUGACAGUUGUUCUUGUUUUCGUAUUAUUCAUGCUCGAAAAUGUCUGUUUAUGUCUCCAAUUCUCACCAUUUGCGGGAAGUUUUACUUUUCUGUUACAAUUCGAAAAAAAAAAAGAUUUAUUGGUCCAGUUUUUGCAUAGUUUGUUCGCUGGUGGUUUGUAAUAAAAAUAUUUCGAUUUCUUAAAGGCCGAGAUGGUAUAUAAAAAUUUAGUUUGGAUAGGAGUUGACUGAAAUCUAUGCGAUUCGAGACCAUGUCAUUUACUAAUGAGACCAUUGAAAAUUCUCUGCGUUCUUUUAAUGAUUGAAUACUGAUCAGCAUACAACGGGCCUUAUAGUAAGUCUUGUCCAACCUAAUUUACGAAGUGCAAAUAAUAAAAAUUGUUUAUAACUGAUUCUAUUCGCGACCUAGAAGGAGCAGUGCUGCUACCUAUGAAAGUUUAAUAUGUGUGUGAAGUGAAUGUAAACAAAGCAGGGUACUUUUUCAUUAAAUUAAAAUUAGUUAAUUCUCUAUUUUCUUAUUUGAUGUUUUGUGCGUUGAAAUACGAAAAAGUUUAAAUGAUUCCUGUUUAGUCAUUAGAACAUAUUGUGCGGUGUAUCGUAGCUGGUAUUUCGUCAGUAAAAAGCGGGAAAGAUUUCUCUUCCGGCACUAGUAAUCUGCAUAGAUCAUGUAUCUGAAAAGUUGCUCGAAUGGGCUUGCAAAAACAUUUCCUAACAGUGUUUGUUAUGCUGAUGAGAACAACAACAAAUGCAAAUUGUUGAGCCAAAUUGUAUGUUUUGAUUGCUAAAAAAAAGGUAUCGACCGGGUAUAUUGAUUUAAUCAUGUGAAAUGGAAUAAACAUUCCUCUGGCAAUAAAUUUCGUUAUCCCAAGUGUAAACCGCACAACUAAACGAGUAAUUCUGAGGACUGCUUCUGCACCCGUUGCUUUUAUCGAUUGUCGUUCAAUGCGUGCCGCCAAUUUGUUUACUUAUGUAUUUAUUAAAUUUAUUCAUCUGACAAAGAAUAUACCUAAUGAAUAAAUCCCAAAUGUCCUCAAGCAUGAUGUUAUCAGUUCGAAAUAUCUUAACGCCGUUCGCUGUAAUCUCUUUGAAUGUUAAUUAUUCUAUAGAGUCGAGUUUUUGUAACAUAUAAAAUGUUAAUAAUUUUGUGAUCUCAAAUACGGAUAUUAAAAAAAACCUUAAUAAAUGAUUCAAAACAGCCAUCACAUGUUUGCGUUUUCAUUUACUGGCUUUGAAAGAACAUGAAAAUAACUAAGCAGAAAGCUCACUUUUAAUGCAAAAUUUUAUUGCGUGCGGCUCGACAGUUGGAGAGAAUGACUGUAUACAAGUCGAGAAUAAGACAAAUCCAUCAUUGUAGAUCUCAUCUAUUCCAACUAACUGAACGGUUUCCUCCGGCAGCGUAGUUGAAGACAUCCGACAAGUUCAUCAACACAGUGCACGUAUCAUCUAAAGGCUCCUAAAGAUGAAUCGAGAAAUGCUUUAUUUUCACAUUUAAAAUGAACACUUCUACGAAAAAUUUGCACCACAGGUAGAAAACAUGCAGUUUUAAUGCAAUUUAUAGAAUUUUCAAAAAUAGCGGUAGAUUUUCCUUCAUAAAUAUUGUUCAGAAAUUCUGUUUACUUUUUCUCACAUACCGAUCACUUGUUUUCUACACGAGAAAAUAGACAUCACUCAAAGUGAUUAUUUCAUAUUCAUUAACUAAGUAUCUUCAAAGUUUUUAAAAAACACUGGUACUUACCAUUUCAAA